UUGAACGCUGGCGGCAUGCCUUACACAUGCCAGUCGAACGGUAACAGGUCUUCGGAUGCUGCCGAGUGGCGAACGGGUGAGUAAUACAUCGGAACGUGCCCAGACGUGGGGGAUAACGAGGCGAAAGCUUUGCUAAUACCGCAUACGAUCUAAGGAUGAAAGCAGGGGACCGCAAGGCCUUGUGCGUUUGGAGCGGCCGAUGGCAGAUUAGGUAGUUGGUGGGAUAAAAGCUUACCAAGCCGACGAUCUGUAGCUGGUCUGAGAGGACGACCAGCCACACUGGGACUGAGACACGGCCCAGACUCCUACGGGAGGCAGCAGUGGGGAAUUUUGGACAAUGGGCGAAAGCCUGAUCCAGCAAUGCCGCGUGCAGGAUGAAGGCCUUCGGGUUGUAAACUGCUUUUGUACGGAACGAAAAGGCUCUGGCUAAUACCUGGGGCACAUGACGGUACCGUAAGAAUAAGCACCGGCUAACUACGUG
rnacentral:rRNA from 1 species